rnacentral:rRNA from 1 species
GGACUACACGGGUAUCUAAUCCUGUUUGCUCCCCACGCUUUCGCGCAUCAGCGUCAGUUACGGUCCAGAUAGCCGCCUUCGCCACUGGUGUUCUUCCCAAUAUCUACGAAUUUCACCUCUACACUGGGAAUUCCACUAUCCUCUCCCGUACUCAAGCCAACCAGUAUCAAGCGCAAUUCCGGAGUUGAGCCCCGGGCUUUCACGCCUGACUUAGCCGGCCGCCUACGCGCCCUUUACGCCCAGUAACUCCGAACAACGCUAGCCCCCUUCGUAUUACCGCGGCGGCUGGCAC